rnacentral:rRNA from 1 species
CUGCUCAAUGAAUAAUUUAAAUAGCUGCAGUAUCCUUAACUGUACAAAGGUAGCAUAAUAAUUAGUUUUUUAAUUGAAAACUUGAAUGAAUGAUUUAAUGAAAUAUAAACUGUUUCAAAUCUAUUAAAUGAAAUUUUUAUUUAAAUAAAAAAAUUUAAAUUAAUAUUAAAGACGAGAAGACCCUAUAGAAAUUUUUUUAAUUUUUAAAUAAUUUUAAAUUAUUUUUAAAUUAUUUUUUAAUUGGGGUAAUUUUAAAAUUUAUUAAUUUUUUAAUUAAAUAAACAUAAAUUUUUGAAAUAUUUAAAUUUUUUAAAAAAAUAAAUUAAAUUACCUUAGGGAUAACAGCAUAAUUUUUUUUAAAAGUUUAAAUUAAAAAAAAAGUUUAUGACCUCGAUGUUGAAUUAAGAU